UAUGUGUAUGCGUGCAUGUGUGUGUAUGUAUGUAUGUAUAUAUGUAUCCAUUAUACAAUGUCACACAUGCAGGCAUACAGUUUCUAUUGUUCAACUACUAUCUUCCCUUUCAGGCAUGUUAGGAAAAUACUUAGGAAAGACGAUUUCACUGAAGCUUUGGAUUAUAUUGCACAAAGAAACCUGUCAACAUACUGAUCUGCUUUUUGGAAAAUCCUAUUUAAUAAUCUGUGUUUUCAAAUAAAGUGACUGGCUAUUAGGUAAUGUUCGUGCUUGAUACGUAGCAAUAUUGGUAUUAAGAAAACAGUAGUAGUAAUAUUGAGAAUGUUGUGAAAUCUCCAAAACAUAUAAAACGUAAUGUAUAUAAAAUAUUCAGUAAUACCGAGACGUUCUAAUAACUCCUUAUCUUUGUGAGAUCUGUUUAUUGUUGUCUCUAUCUUUCAUAAAUCUCAUGUGAUGAUCAAACUGACUUUGAUUUAUUGGGUUUACAAGAAAGUAAUUUCGGUCUUUUAGUGUGAAAUAAAUGGCAUUUUUUCCUAAUACAAAGAAUGAACUUUAAUCACUUAUAUAUUUUCCAUUUUGUUCGAUGAUCUUUUGCCAUCUUUCUGGCAAUUUUACGAUUCCGCGCUCAUAGAACUUCUGGUCCUUAUUAGCCCAAAACUGAAGCAAGUGUGAUUUCAGGUCAGCAUCAUUACUGAAAGUUUUACCAUUUCAAAGAAUUUUUCAGACUUCGAAAUAAAUGGUAAUCUGAUGGUACACGAUCAGGGCUAUAUGGUAGAUGUGAAACCAUUUCCCAUUCAAGCUUCAGUAAUUUUUAUCGAGUUGGUAAAUGUGUGUGGUUUAUCAUUGUCAUGGCGGAACACGAUUGCUUUACGAUUUACCAAUUUUCAAUGAUUUUCUUUGAUUGCUUUCUCCAGUUUCAUUAGUUGUUGACAGUAAACAACUAAAUUGAUCGUUUGAUUCUUUGGAAACAGCUCAAAAUCCCACAAAAUUGACAGCAUCACCUUUUUUGAUACAAUUCAGCUUUUGAUGUGGUUUGUGUUGGUUCAUUACGCUUGGACCAUGAUCGUUUUCGAUUGAUGUUAUUCUAGACAAUCCAUGUUUCACCACCAAUGAUUAAUUUCAUA